rnacentral:rRNA from 1 species
UACGUAGGUGGCAAGCGUUGUCCGGAUUUACUGGGCGUAAAGAGCGCGCAGGCGGUCGUUCAAGUCGCGUGUGAAAGCCCCCGGCUCAACUGGGGAGGGUCACGCGAUACUGAUCGACUCGAAGGCAGGAGAGGGAAGUGGAAUUCCCGGUGUAGUGGUGAAAUGCGUAGAGAUCAGCAGGAACACCCCGUGGCGAAGGCGGCCCCCUGGG